rnacentral:rRNA from 1 species
UACAGAGGUGGCAAGCGUUGUUCGGAAUUACUGGGCGUAAAGGGCGCGUAGGCGGCUCUCUAAGUCCCGUGUGAAAGCCCUCGGCUUAACCGAGGAACUGCACGAGAAACUGGAGAGCUUGAGUUCGGGAGAGGGAAGCGGAAUUCCGGGUGUAGCGGUGAAAUGCGUAGAUAUCCGGAGGAACACCAGUGGCGAAGGCGGCUUCCUGGCCUGUUCUUGACGCUGAGGCGCGAAAGCUAGGGGGGCAAACGGG